rnacentral:rRNA from 1 species
ACACAUGAACAUCGACAUUUUGAACGCAUAUUGCGGUCCAUACUGACUAGUUUCUUAAUCGAAGCUGUAUGGACCACACAUGGUUGAGGGUCGUUAGUUUACGCUAACUGAAUUGCAUUUUAUAUAUUAACUUAUAUGAAAAGCGACAUCAUGAGGUGUUGUCAAUCUUAAGUGUAUUGACAUCCCUUGAAAAUACCUUUGGUACACAAUAUUGAUUUAUUGUGAAUGCUUGUUUUAUCAAAGAAAACAGAUAUUUAUUUUAGAAUUUUAUGUGGAAAAUUUUGAAGCUAGUAAACUUUGACUAAGCGUUUAAACAUAAUAGUUUACGUAUUUGAAUGCAUCCUGAACGCUUCAUUUUUUUUGCAAUAAUUCUAAAUUGAUAAAAGUAUCUAUUCGUAAAUUUUCUUUGAAUAUAAAAAACAUUCCCACUUAUAUACGCGGGUGGCAUUCAUUAAUCUCUAUUGAAUAUAACCAUUAAAGCGACCUCAGCUCAUGUGAGACUAC